rnacentral:rRNA from 1 species
CGCGUGUGUGAAGAAGGCCUUCGGGUUGUAAAGCACUUUCGCCUGGAAAGAAAAGCCUUGCGCUAAUACCUUGAUGCCUUGACGUUCCCGGCAAAUGAAGCACGGGCUAAUCUGGUCCCAGCGCCCGCGGUAUAACGAAGGUGCCAGCGUAAUUCGAAUUUAUGGGCCGUAAGCCUGGGUAGUGGUUUGUUUAAUUCGGAUGUAAGCCCUGGGCUUCACCCGGGAACUGCUUCGAACUGGUCGCUAGAGUGGGUAAAGGGAGCGAAUCCGGUGUACGAUGAAUGCGUAAUAUCUGGAGAACAUCAAUGGCGAAGGCGGCUCCUGGCCUAUACUGACGCUAGGUGCGAAAGCCUUGGGGGCAAACAGGAUUAAAUACCCUGGUAGUCCACGCCCUAAACGAUGAGAACUUGUUGUUGGAUUGGUCUGCCUUUCGUGUCGCAACUAACGCGUUAAGUUCUCCGCCUGGGGAGUACGGCCGC